AUUCAGUCCCGAAUGUGAGCAGAGAGAGGGGGCAACGUGGAGGGAGCUGCAGGCAGCUCUUGGGAAGGUGAAGUCCACAGGACCUGGGAUGGGAUUGGACGCUUAGGCGAGCAGGUUGGCAUCCUAACCCCCAGUACCUCAGGAUGUAUUUGGAGAUGGGGUCUCUACAGAGGUGAUGAAGGUAAAAUGAGGCCACUAGCGUGGGCCCUAAUGCAAGCUGUCUGGUGUCCUUAUAAGAAGAGGAGAUGAGGACACAGACACACACAGAGGGGAGACCUUGGAGGACACGGAGGGAAGACGGCCGUCUGCCAGCCAAGGGGAGAGGCCUUGGGGGAAGCCAGCCCCAGAUCUUGGACUUCCAGCCUCCAAAACUGUGGGAAAAUAUAUUUCUUUUGUUUAAGCCACAUGGAUCGUGGGGCUUUGUUAAGGCAGCUGGGCAAACCAAUAUCCACUCUGUGUUUAUAUCAAUGUGUAUUUUCAUACAAUUAUGUACAGCUACAAAUAGGAAUGCACUCACGCAUGUUUAUUGGGGCAUCAGUAAAGCAAGGAGGUUGGAGUCUAUGUCUUCAGGAACUAACGGGAACCUUACGGCUCUACUGUAGGGAGGGCCCCUGGCUGGGGUAGGUGGGUGGAGAGUCACAGCUCCUGUCUCCACAGCUUUCCCUACUCACAUGGGCAGCUUUUCACCUUCUCUCCCCAGAUAUGAUUUCCAUGGCUACAGGGCGAUGCUCAAAUGAGUCCUCUUGAAGAAGCAAGGACAAACAGCUUAACAAAUCUCACCACUGUACUCCAGCCUGGGCAACAGAGCGAGACUCUGUCUCAAAACAAAAAGCAAAGGAGCCAGCCCGGGGAUGGGGAGGACGGGGGCAGGGCGGCCUCCUAUCCCCCGCUUCCAUUAAUAGACUCCCUCUUACCUUUUCUUUCUUCAGUAGAGACAGGGACUCACUGUGUUGCCCAGCCUUGUCUCAAACUCCUGGGCUCAAGUGAUCCUCCUGCCUCCACCUCCCAAAGUGCUGGGAUGACAGGUGCGAGCCAUGGCACCUGGCCCUUUGUGUCUUGUAUCCAACUAAAAUGCAUCCUCAGAUAGGGUCUUUGCAGAAGAGUGAAGGUUGUCUGGGUAGGGCCUCUAGAAAUCACCCACAUCUGGCAAGGGCAUGACCUGUUCUCUCCCUGCGGAUGCACUCAUUCCCUGAAUCCCGGGUCCAAGAUUCCCUCCAAAGAAUUCCAGGCUCUGGGAUUAAAUCUAUGAACCAUCUCUUACCCUCCAACGAAAUGGGGUCAGCACACCACACAUUCAUCAGUCAAAUAAUUAUGAGUGUCUGUAUUUCCCUAGCAAGAAUUAUUGUUUUUGUAUCUUUCGUUUUUUGUUUGUUUGUUUGUUUCGAGAUGGAGUCUCGCUCUGUCACCCAGGCUGGAGUGCAGUGGCACGAUCUCAGCUCACUGCAACCUCCGCCUCCCGGGUUCAAGCGAUUCUCAUUCCUCAGCCUCCCAAGUAGCUGGGAUUACCCGCAUGCGCCAACACGCCCAGCUAAUUUUUGUAUUUUUAAUGGAGACGGGGUUUCACCAUGUUGGCCAGACUGGUCUUGAGCUCCUGACCUCAGGUGAUCCACCUGCCUUGGCCUCCCAAAGUGCUGGGAUUAUAGGCAUGAGCCACCAUGCCGGCCAAGAAUUCUUUACUGGGCACUAAAUAUAUGCCAGAGACUUGGUGGAUAAAUUCUUAUGGAGGUAAGGGUCUGGUGAGGGAGAGAGAUGAUAAAAAAGUAAGUGACAAGGAAAGAAGUUAUCUUUCUGAAUAAGUCAGAUAAAAGCAGUGUUUAAGUCAAUCAAAACGGAGGCCAGGCCUGGAGAAUCCCUGUGCAGACCACACCAGCCUCUUGAGUCACCUCAACCCUGCUCGAUUUGCAUACAUAAGUGAAACUUAACUUGAGCUAUUUCUUGCAAAGGCGUACGUUAAAGAAAAACAGUUUGAGCUCACUGGAGGUUUAAACUCUUGGACUCAGGUGAUCCUCCUGCCUCGGUCUCCCAAAACACUGGGAUUACAAGUGUGUGCCACCAUACCCAGCCUCCAGUGACCAUUUACAAAUUUACAACUCGGUGGCAUUGAGUACAUUCACAGUGCUGUGCAGCCGUCACCACCAUUUAGUUCCAAAGCAUUUUCAGCACCUCAUGUUAGUCUAUUCAGGCUGUUACAAGAAAAUUCCAGGCUGGGAGCGGUGGUUUAAGCCUAUAAUCCCAGCACUUUGGGAGGCCAAGGUCAGAGGAUCCUUUGAGCCCAGGAGACCAGCCUAGGCAACACGGGGAGACCCUAUCUUUAAAAAAUUUUUUAAAAAAUUAUCUGGCCAUGGUGGCACACACCUGUAGUCCCAGCUACCCAGGAGGCUGAGGCAGGAGGAACGCUUGGGCCCAGGAAGUUGAGGCUGCAUGGAGCCAUUAUUGCAUUACCGCACUCCAGCCCGGGCAACAGCAACACCCAGAGCAAGCAAGCAAGCAAGCAAAGAAGGAAGGAAAGAAGGAGGGAAGGAAGGAAGGAAAAAUAUACCAUAGACUGGGUGGUUUAUAAACAACAGACAUUGGCCGGGCGCGGUAGAGCACGCCUGUAAUCCCAGCACUCUGGGAGGCCAAGGCAGGUAGAUCAACUAAGGUCAGGAGUUUGAGACCAGCCUGACUAACACGGUGAAACCCCAUCUUAACUAAAAAAAACAAAAAUUCGCUGGGCAUGGUGGCAGGCACCUGUAAUGCCAGCUACUCGGGAGGCUGAGGCAGGAGAAUCGCUUGAACCUGGGAGGCAGAGAUUGCAGUGAGCUGAGAUUGUGCCACUGCACUCCAGCCUGGGCAACAGAGCGAGACUCCGUCUCAUAAAUAAAUAAAUAAAUAAAUAAAUAAAUAAAUAAAUAAAUAAAUAAAAUUGUUAGGGAAACAGGAGCACAGGAGAGCCAGACUGACACCAUUUUUAAAUCAACCCCACCUUAAAACUAGCAGGGGACCUUCCUUGCCAGUCAUGAGCCGUGGUCCUCAGAUGUUUACAGCUAAGGGAGCAGCUAGCGGCUUAAUAAUGCCUGCAAGGACAAACGUCUACCACAACAAAAUGUCCAGAUGUCCUGAUAUCACAUAACAGUAUUUGCUUUAAAAUGAUUAAAUGCUGAGACCUGGGCUUUAAAAAAAAAAGAUGAUUAUAGUUAUGUUUUGAUGUGCUUUCACACUAAAAUGCCAAGGAUAUCUUCCUUUAAAUCAAGAAAGUAUUUAAUAAUACAUUUUGUCCGGCUGUCAGCCCACCUGCCUGCAGACAUAGCUUAGCUUUUAGACAAGGCUGCUACAUCAGAAGAGUUUAAAACAAAGACAGCGAGUUCCUUCUCCUGUUUUCUGAGGACGCCCUGCCGUGUAACUGAGCAGCUUUCAAUAAACAAUCUCUGCUCACUGCACUCUGAGAUUCACCUUGAACUUUCCCACCACAGAUCCACGAACACUUUCUUGGGGUCUGGAUCAAGACCCCUUUCUCUGGCAACAAAAUCACACAGUGUGUACUCCGUUGAGCCCAGGCGCCUUGAGCUCACAAUCAUGUUUGUGAAAUCGAUGCAUGUGGCCGGGCGCGGCGGCUCACGCCUGUCAUCCCAGCAGUUUGGGAGGCCGAGGCGGGCGGAUCACCUGAGGUCGGGAGUUCGAGACCAGCCUGACCAAUAUGGAGAAACCCCGUCUCUAUUAAAAAUACAAAAUUAGCCAGGCAUGGUGGCGGGCGCCUGUAAUCCCAGCUACUCCGGAGACUGAGACGGGAGAAUCGAUUGAACCUGGGAGGCGGAGGUUGUGGUGAGCCUAGAUUGUGCCAUUGCACUCCAGCCUGGGCAAUAAGAGCAAAACUCCAUCUCAAAAAAAAAGAAAAGAAAAGAAAAAGAAAUUGACGCAUGCGAUUGUGUGUGACUGUGGGGUUGUUCCACGUCGUUGGGACCGUUUGAUUCAUUGUGUAUCUUUCCCCGGCAUGAAUGUAUUUUCCAUGUAUUUAUCUGCUCUACGUCACAGAUACUCUUUUGAGGACUAGUGAUCUCAAAUCCACAGUGUUGAUUCUUUACAUUUUAUACACCUGUGUCACGACCAGCGGAUAAGGAUACAGAACAUCCCAGCACCCCACCAAUUUCCACCCACCUCUCCCCGUGCUGUAGCCCUUUGCUCCCUCAGCACCAGAUGCAACGUCUUUCUGAUUUCUGUCGUCACUGAUUGCUUUGCCUGUUCUAGGACUUCCUCUAAGUGGAAACAUACGCUAUACAUACACUAUACGUACUUUUGUGUCUGGCUUCAUCUGCUCCACGUGGGGUCUGUGAGGUUCAGCCCUGUGGUUGGCUGCAGCCAUGCAUCCUUCCUUCGCAACGCCCUGUAGAAUCUCAUGGGAUGGACACGCUACGCAUUUGCAUAUCCAUCCUACUGUGCCUAGUCCUGUGAGUACUUUCCAAAUCUGCUGAGUGCUCCUUUUCCAACAAAUAUUUUGUUCGGACCCUUUUGACCUUCCUGAAGUGAAAUUCAUAGAUAUGAAAAUGUUCUGAAAUUUUGGCCGGGCGCAGUGGCUCACGCCUGUCAUCCCAGCACUUUGGGAAGCCAAGGCGGGUGGAUCACGAGGUCAGGAAUUCGAGACCAGCCUGGACACAUGGCAAAUCCCUGUCUCUACUAAAAAUACGAAAAUUAGCUGGGUGUGGUGGUACACACCUGUAAUCCCAGCUACUUGGGAGAUUGAGGCAGGAGAAUCGCUUGAGCCCAGGGAGCAGAGGUCACAGUGAGCCGAGAUCAUGCCACUCCGUCUUAAAAAACAAAAAUGGCCAGGUACAGUGGCUCACGCCUGUAAUCCCAGCACUUUGGGAGGCCAAGGUGGAUGGACCUGAGGUCAGGACUUCAAGACCAGCCUGUCCAACAUGGUGAAACCCUGUCUCUACUAAUAAUACAAAAAUUAGCCAGGCAUGGUGACACAUGCCUAUAAUCCGCCUACUCGGGAGGAUGAGGCAGGAGAAUUGCUGGAACCUGAGAGGCGGAGGUUACAGUGAGCUGAGAUGGCGCCACUGCACUCCAACCUGGGCAACACAGCGAAACUCUGUCUCAAAAAAAAAAAAAAAAAGAUGUUCUGUAAACAUAAUGUAAAAACUUACCUGUAAUUUAAAUCAGAAAUAAGGGAGACAUACUCUAUUAUAAAACAAUAUGUAAUUUAGUCAAUAAAUGCUCAGUUAUGAUCACUGUAGAAGAUAUGAUGAAGCCAGGCACAGUGGCUCACACCAAUUAUCCCAGGACUUUAGGAGGCUGAGGCGGAAGGAUUGCUUGAGACCAGGAGUUAAGACCAGCCUGAGCAACAGAGCAAGACCCCAUCUAUACACUAAAUAUUUUUAAAAUAUUAGCCAGGUGUGGUGAUGCACACCUGUAGUCCCAGCUACUCUGGAAGCUGAAACAGGAGGAUCACUUGAGCCCAGGAGGAUGAGGCUGCAGUGAGCCAUGAUCGCACCACUACACUCCAGCCUGGAUGGCAGAGCAAGAUCUUGUCUCAAAAAAAAUAAAAAUAAAAAAGAUACAAUGAAGCAAUUAGAUGAUGCUUCCAUCAGUGGUAAUGAAUUGUUGGCUAUUAUUUGCAUGUGUGUAAAUCUCUGUAUAUAUGUGAGAAUAAAUCCAUAUAUAUUUAUGUGUGAUACAUAUGUAUGCAUUCUUGUGAGUGUAUAAGAAUAUAUUUGCACAGUCCAGGAGCAGUGGCUCAUGCCUGUAAUCCCAGCACUUUGGGAGACUGAGGCAGGAGGAUCCCUUGAGCCCAGGAGUUUGAAAGACCUUGUCUCUAUCCUAAAAGAUAAAAAAGAAGAUAUUCAGCCGGGCACGGUGGCUCUCACCUGUAAUCCCAGCACUUUGGGAGGCCGAGGCGGGUGGAUCAUCUGAGGUCAGGAGUUUGAGACCAGCCUGGGUAACAUGGGGAAACCCCAUCUCUACUAAAAAUACAAAAUUGGCCAGGUGGUGGGCAUCUGUAAUCCCAGC
rnacentral:lncRNA from 1 species